rnacentral:rRNA from 1 species
UACGUAGGGGGCAAGCGUUGUCCGGAAUCAUUGGGCGUAAAGCGCGUGUAGGCGGCCCGAUAAGUCCGCUGUGAAAGUCCAGGGCUCAACCCUGGAAUGCCGGUGGAUACUGUCGGGCUCGAGUCCGGAAGAGGCGAGUGGAACUCCUGGUGUAGCGGUGGAAUGCGCAGAUAUCAGGAAGAACACCGGUGGCGAAGGCGGGUCUCUGGGCCGAAAUUGACGCUGAGGAGCGAAAGCGUGGGGAGCAAACAGG